AACCACUUCGGUGGUCAUCCGUAAAAAUUGGAACGAUACAGAGAAGAUUAGCAUGGCCCCUGCGCAAUGUUG
rnacentral:snRNA from 1 species